GGAGGUGGGAUGAGCUCCAGAAGGGUUUGGCUGCUGUAGGGGGGGCUGUGGUGCUCCCCCAUGAGUGUGGACAUCUGUGGGGCUGCAGCAGGAGCUUGUUGGGGCUGGGCUGCUCACUUUGCCCAGAAGUCUCCAAAAUAAGGAGCUGUGAGGAGUUCAGAGCAGACCUUCCUGCAAGGAAGGAAGUUCCCUCCAUGUUCCCUCUCCUGGUUCCCUCCAUGGAGAGAUGCACCAAACAUAUCAGAACAUACUCUAAAAGUAAAUGCUCUAGAACUAAAACAGAUCCCACUAUGAUGCCUGUAUCCUUAAUCCUGAAGGAUUUUGAGGAGUUCUCUAGGAUGCUGGUUGUGCUGUCUAUUCCUGUUGCCUUCCUUUGCAACAUUCAGUGGAUUUUGUGGUAUCUUUCAGGAGCAGAAAAUCAUUGGAGAUGAUUUCACUGAUGUACAGCAGUGCUUCUGUCACAGUAAAGGGGUGCAAAAUGUCCUCAAGUGUACGUCUGAAGAAUCUUAUGAGUAAUGGAAAAAGAAGAGCAGAGCAUAUACAGAAAAAAGUCU
rnacentral:lncRNA from 1 species